rnacentral:lncRNA from 1 species
GGAAGCUGCUUACAGUUUAUUUCAAAGAUCAUGAAUUGUCACAAAAAUGUAAAUGAAAAGAAAAAGAACUUAUGAUAAAGUCAUUGUAGCAUUACAGUGAAUUUUAAGAACAGAGAGUCUUCACUCUUCUUGAUGAACCUCAUACACUUCUCUUCCGAACCAACUGAAUGUUUUACGUUGAUAAAUCAGAUGUAAUUGGUUCCUGGUUCAUAGAUGCAGCCUUUGAGUCUUUUAUCACAUUUUCUGAAGAGAUCACUGGAAAUCACUUAGAUCUAAUCAAGUCAGCUGACCUUGGCUAGUCCUGUAACAUCUGCUUUGUAAAGAACAUACUAGGCUGGGUGUGGUGGCUCACUCCUAUAAUCCUAACACUUUGGAAGUCCCAGGUGGGAAAUCACCUGAGGUCAGGAGUUUGAGACCAGCCUGGCGAAUGUGGUGAAACCCUGUCUCUACUAAAAAUACAAAAAUUAGCUGGGCAUAAUGGCACCUGUCUGUAAUCUCAGCUACCCAGGAGGCCAAGGCAGGAGAAUCAUUGGAACUUGGGAGGUGGAGGCUGUAGUGAGCCAGGAUCAUAUCAUAGUAACCUG